UACGUAGGGUGCGAGCGUUAAUCGGAAUUACUGGGCGUAAAGCGUGCGCAGGCGGUCUGUUAAGACCGAUGUGAAAUCCCCGGGCUUAACCUGGGAACUGCAUUGGUGACUGGCAGGCUUUGAGUGUGGCAGAGGGAGGUAGAAUUCCACGUGUAGCAGUGAAAUGCGUAGAGAUGUGGAGGAAUACCGAUGGCGAAGGCAGCCUCCUGGGCCAACACUGACGCU
rnacentral:rRNA from 1 species